UAAUACGUAGGGGGCGAGCGUUGUCCGGAAUCAUUGGGCGUAAAGCGCGUGUAGGCGGCUUGGUAAGUCUGGUGUGAAAUCCUGGGGCUUAACCCCAGACCUGCACUGGAUACUGUCAAGCUUGAGUCCGGGAGGGGAGAGCGGAAUUCCUAGUGUAGCGGUGAAAUGCGCAGAUAUUAGGAAGAACACCGGUGGCGAAGGCGGCUCUCUGGAACGGUACUGACGCUGAGACGCGAAAGCGUGGGGAGCGAACAGGAUUAGAUACCCUGGUAGUCCACGCCGUAAACGAUGGGCACUAGAUGUGGGCGGUGUCGACUCCGUCCGUGUCGAAGCUAACGCAUUAAGUGCCCCGCCUGGGGAGUACGGCCGCAAGGCUAAAACUCAAAUGAAUUGACGG
rnacentral:rRNA from 1 species